GACGAACGCUGGCGGCGUGCUUAACACAUGCAAGUCGAACGAUGAACCUCGAAAUGAUUUCUUCGGAAAGAUUUUUGAGAGGAUUAGUGGCGAACGGGUGAGUAACGCGUGAGCAACCUGCCUUAGACAAGGGGAUAGCCUCGGGAAACCGUGAUUAAUACCCUAUGAGACUCCACUUACGAGUGUAAGAGAAGUUAAAGCUAUUGCGGUCUAAGAUGGGCUCGCGUCUGAUUAGCUAGUUGGUGAGAUAAAAUCCCACCAAGGCGACGAUCAGUAACCGGCUUGAGAGAGUGAACGGUCACAUUGGAACUGAGACACGGUCCAAACUCCUACGGGAGGCAGCAGUGGGGAAUAUUGCACAAUGGGGGCAACCCUGAUGCAGCGACGCCGCGUGAGCGAUGAAGGAAUUCGUUUCGUAAAGCUCUGUCCUUGGAGAAGAUAAUGACGGUAACCAAGGAGGAAGCACCGGCUAAAUACGUG
rnacentral:rRNA from 1 species